AGCAGCCGCGGUAAUUCCAGCUCCAAUAGCGUAUAUUAAAGUUGUUGCAGUUAAAAAGCUCGUAGUUGAAUUUCGGGGUCAGUAGAUUGGUCGUGCCACUGGUAUGUACUGGUCUUACUGGCUCCUCCUUCCUGAUGAACCGUAAUGCCAUUAAUUUGGUGUUGCGGGGGAGACUGGACUGUUACUUUGAAAAAAUUAGAGUGUUUAAAGCAGGCUAACGCUUGAAUACAUUAGCAUGGAAUAAUGAAAUAGGACGUUCGAUCUUAUUUUGUUGGUUUCUAGGAUUUGACGUAAUGAUUAAUAGGGAUAGUUGGGGGCAUUAGUAUUCAAUUGUCAGAGGUGAAAUUCUUGGAUUUUAUUGAAGACUAACUACUGCGAAAGCAUUUGCCAAGGAUGUUUUCAUUAAUCAAGAACGAGAGUUAGGGGAUCGAAGACGAUCAGAUACCGUGUAGUCUUAACCAUAAACUAUGACCGACUAGGGAUCGGGAUGAUGUUAAUUUUUAAUGUACUCAUUCGG
rnacentral:rRNA from 1 species